GACGAACGCUGGCGGCGUGCUUAACACAUGCAAGUCGAACGGAAAGGCCUGCUUUCCCUUUUGGAUUGCGGGUACUCGAGUGGCGAACGGGUGAGUAACACGUGAGUGAUCUGCCCCCAACUUGGGUAUAAGCCUGGGAAACUGGGUCUAAUUCCCGAUAGGACUGCAGGGUGGUGCCUGUGGUGGAAAACGAUUUUCUAGUGGUUGGGGAUGAGCUCGCGGCCUAUCAGCUUGUUGGUGGGGUAAUGGCCUACCAAGGCGGCGACGGGUAGCCGGCCUGAGAGGGUGGACGGCCACAUUGGGACUGGGAUACGGCCCAGACGCCUACGGGAGGCAGCAGUGGGGAAUAUUGGACAAUGGGCGGAAGCCUGAUGCAGCGACGCCGCGUGGGGGAUGACGGCCUUCGGGUUGUAAACUCCUUUCGACCGCGAGGAAGCCACCUGGUUGGAAGGGUGGUGACGGUAGUGGUAGAAGAAGCACCGGCUAACUACGUG
rnacentral:rRNA from 1 species